CCACAAUGGACGAAAGUCUGAUGGAGCAACGCCGCGUGUGUGAUGAAGGCUUUCGGGUCGUAAAGCACUGUUGUAUGGGAAGAAAUGCUAGGCUAGGAAAUGAGCUUAGUUUGACGGUACCAUACCAGAAAGGGACGGCUAAAUACGUGCCAGCAGCCGCGGUAAUACGUAUGUGCCCAAGCGUUAUCCGGAUUUAUUGGGCGUAAAGCGAGCGCAGACGGUUGAUUAAGUCUGAUGUGAAAGCCCGGGGCUCAACCCCGGAAUGGCAUUGGAAACUGGUCGACUUGAGUGCAGUAGAGGUAAGUGGAACUCCAUGUGUAGCGGUGGAAUGCGUAGAUAUAUGGAAGAACACCAGUGGCGAAGGCGGCUUAGCUGGACUGCAACUGAGCGUUGAGGCUCGAAAGUGUGGGGUAGCAAACAGGAUUAGAUACCCUGGUAGUCCACACCGUAAACGAUGGAUACUAGGUGUUAGGGGGUUUCCGCCCCUUAGUGCCGGAGCUAACGCAUUAAGUAUCCCGCCUGGGGAGUACGCACGCAAGUGUG
rnacentral:rRNA from 1 species